rnacentral:rRNA from 1 species
UUAGUACCCGGAGGAAGAGAAAGAAAAUUCGAUUCCCUUAGUAGCGGCGAGCGAAACGGGAAGAGCCCAAACCAACAAGCUUGCUUGUUGGGGUUGUAGGACACUCUAUACGGAGUUACAAAGGACGACAUUAGACGAAUCAUCUGGAAAGAUGAAUCAAAGAAGGUAAUAAUCCUGUAGUCGAAAAUGUUGUCUCUCUUGAGUGGAUCCUGAGUACGACGGAGCACGUGAAAUUCCGUCGGAAUCUGGGAGGACCAUCUCCUAAGGCUAAAUACUCUCUAGUGACCGAUAGUGAACCAGUACCGUGAGGGAAAGGUGAAAAGCACCCCGGAAGGGGAGUGAAAUAGAACCUGAAACCGUGUGCUUACAAGUAGUCAGAGCCCGUUAAUGGGUGAUGGCGUGCCUUUUGUAGAAUGAACCGGCGAGUUACGAUUUGAUGCAAGGUUAAGCAGUAAAUGUGGAGCCGUAGCGAAAGCGAGUCUGAAUAGGGCGUUUAGUAUUUGGUCGUAGACCCGAAACCAGGUGAUCUACCCUUGGUCAGGUUGAAGUUCAGGUAACACUGAAUGGAGGACCGAACCGACUUACGUUGAAAAGUGAGCGGAUGAACUGAGGGUAGCGGAGAAAUUCCAAUCGAACCUGGAGAUAGCUGGUUCUCUCCGAAAUAGCUUUAGGGCUAGCCUCAAGUGAUGAUUAUUGGAGGUAGAGCACUGUUUGGACGAGGGGCCCCUCUCGGGUUACCGAAUUCAGACAAACUCCGAAUGCCAAUUAAUUUAACUUGGGAGUCAGAACAUGGGUGAUAAGGUCCGUGUUCGAAAGGGAAACAGCCCAGACCACCAGCUAAGGUCCCAAAAUAUAUGUUAAGUGGAAAAGGAUGUGGCGUUGCCCAGACAACUAGGAUGUUGGCUUAGAAGCAGCCAUCAUUUAAAGAGUGCGUAAUAGCUCACUAGUCGAGUGACACUGCGCCGAAAAUGUACCGGGGCUAAACAUAUUACCGAAGCUGUGGAUUGUCCUUUGGACAAUGGUAGGAGAGCGUUCUAAGGGCGUUGAAGCAUGAUCGUAAGGACAUGUGGAGCGCUUAGAAGUGAGAAUGCCGGUGUGAGUAGCGAAAGACGGGUGAGAAUCCCGUCCACCGAUUGACUAAGGUUUCCAGAGGAAGGCUCGUCCGCUCUGGGUUAGUCGGGUCCUAAGCUGAGGCCGACAGGCGUAGGCGAUGGAUAACAGGUUGAUAUUCCUGUACCACCUAUAAUCGUUUUA